rnacentral:rRNA from 1 species
UACGGAGGGGGCUAGCGUUAUUCGGAAUUACUGGGCGUAAAGCGCGCGUAGGCGGUUUUCCAAGUUGGGGGUGAAAUCCCGGAGCUUAACUCCGGAACUGCCUCCAAAACUGGAUGACUAGAGGUCGAGAGAGGUAAGGGGAAUUCCUAGUGUAGAGGUGAAAUUCGUAGAUAUUAGGAAGAACACCAGUGGCGAAGGCGCCUUACUGGCUCGAUACUGACGCUGAGGUGCGAAAGUGUGGGGAGCAAACAGG